rnacentral:rRNA from 1 species
AUUGAACGCUGGCGGCAUGCUUUACACAUGCAAGUCGAACGGUAACAGGCUAAGCUGACGAGUGGCGAACGGGUAAGUAAUGCAUCGGAACGUGCCCGGUCGUGGGGGAUAACGCAGCGAAAGCUGCGCUAAUACCGCAUACGAUCUGAGGAUGAAAGCGGGGGACCGUAAGGCCUCGCGCGAUCGGAGCGGCCGAUGUCAGAUUAGGUAGUUGGUGGGGUAAAGGCUCACCAAGCCAACGAUCUGUAGCUGGUCUGAGAGGACGACCAGCCACACUGGGACUGAGACACGGCCCAGACUCCUACGGGAGGCAGCAGUGGGGAAUUUUGGACAAUGGGCGAAAGCCUGAUCCAGCAAUGCCGCGUGCAGGAAGAAGGCCUUCGGGUUGUAAACUGCUUUUGUACGGAGCGAAAAGGUCUCCUCUAAUACAGGGGGCUCAUGACGGUACCGUAAGAAUAAGCACCGGCUAACUACGUGCCAGCCGCCGCAGUAA